CACGUAGUUAGCCGUGGCUUUCUGGUUAGAUACCGUCACACGCAUAACAGUUACUCUAUGCGCUGUUCUUCUCUAACAACAGAGCUUUACGAUCCGAAGACCUUCUUCACUCACGCGGCGUUGCUCCGUCAGACUUGCGUCCAUUGCGGAAGAUUCCCUACUGCUGCCUCCCGUAGGAGUUUGGGCCGUGUCUCACGUCCCAAUGUGGCCGAUCACCCUCUCAGGUCGGCUAUGCAUCAUCGCCUUGGUAGGCCCCUUACCUACCAACUAGCUAAUGCCACCGGCGGGUCCAUCCUCUUAGCGAUAGCUUGCGCCACCUUUCCUCACGGAAUCAUGUGACUCCCAUGUCCUAUGACGGUUAUAGCUAGUUCGUUUCCGAUUCGUUACUCCCCCAUAGUGUACGGGUUACGGUUACCCACGUUCGUUACUCC
rnacentral:rRNA from 1 species